rnacentral:other from 1 species
CUCGCCCUGAAGUGUUGGCCAGUUGACUAUGUCCUGAGCCGAUAAUUCUACCCUGGAGGUUUCCAGCGGAUGUUGGUGUGCAAGUCCGCCAUGCAGCGGAAAGCCUUAUGCAUUCCGGGAACCCCCACCUUGAGCCUUACGGUUCAAGGCUAUGUCAUCAGCCGCAUCUUCGGGGCUCCU